rnacentral:rRNA from 1 species
GUGGGGAAUCUUCCGCAAUGGACGAAAGUCUGACGGAGCGACGCCGCGUGAGUGAAGAAGGCCUUCGGGUCGUAAAGCUCUGUCAUCAGGGACGAACGGCCGGUGGAGUGGAAAGCCACCGGAUUGACGGUACCUGAGAAGGAAGCCACGGCUAACUACGUGCCAGCAGCCGCGGUAAUACGUAGGUGGCAAGCGUUGUCCGGAAUUAUUGGGCGUAAAGCGCGCGCAGGUGGGAUCUUAAGUCCAUUUUUAAAGUUCGGAGCUCAACUCCGUGAUGGGAUGGAAACUGGGAUUCUUGAGUACCGGAGAGGAAAGCGGAAUUCCCCGUGUAGCGGUGAAAUGCGUAGAUAUGGGGAGGAACACCAGUGGCGAAGGCGACUUUCUGGACGAUGUCUGACGCUGAGGCGCGAAAGCUAGGGGAGCGAACGGGAUUAGAAACCCGAGUAGUCC